GGAUGUGAGGGCAACUGGCUUUGCCAUCUGUCCCCUCAACUGAUCUCCAGGGAUGAUUCAGGUGAUCUGGCUGGCUAGGCGAGUGUCCCCUUCCUCCCUCAGUGUUCCAUGCGCGUCCCUCUCAAAGUCGUGCUCUCGGUGGAAAUGGCUACGCUGAAGACAACUAGCAGCCUGUAAGUACAUAUGCCACAUAGAGACUGUACCUUAUUUUCAUUUCAUAGGCUGAAACAUGAACUCCAUUCCACAACAGCCACCUCUCUAUCUGGAGUCUGAGAGCAAUUCAUCUGAUUAG
ensembl:misc_RNA 7SK 7SK RNA